rnacentral:RNase_P_RNA from 3 species
CCAGGGGGCCGGGCAGCCGCGUCCUUCGUCAAGCUCAGGAUGAGCGGGGGGAAGGCCGAGGAAAGUCCGGGCUCCACGAAACAAGGGUGGCGGGUAACGCCCGCCGGGCCUGAGGCUCACGCCAAAGGUCAAGGGAAAGUGCCACAGAGAGCAGACCGCUAAUCCCGCAAGGGACAGCAAGGGUGAAAGGGUGCGGUAAGAGCGCACCGCGCGACCGGCAACGGAAGCGGCACGGCAAACCCCACCUGGAGCAAGAUCGAAUAGGGACUGCGCGCCUUUCGGGGCAGGCCUGUUUCGGGCCAGCAGUCCGGGUUGAUUGCUUGAGCGUUCCGGCAACGGUCCGCCUAGAGGAAUGGCUGCCAGUGCCGAUACGGUCCACUUGUGGGAUACCGUCGGCGCUACAGAACCCGGCUUACAGGCCCCCUGGCGCA